CCAGAUCCAAGCCCCAUCACAACUCGCAAAAGCCUGGAGGGGUUGAGAAUUUAAUGACACUCAAACAGGCA
rnacentral:rRNA from 1 species